AUUGAACGCUGGCGGCAGGCCUAACACAUGCAAGUCGAACGGUAACAGGAAGAAGCUUGCUUCUUUGCUGACGAGUGGCGGACGGGUGAGUAAUGUCUGGGAAACUGCCUGAUGGAGGGGGAUAACUACUGGAAACGGUAGCUAAUACCGCAUAACGUCGCAAGACCAAAGAGGGGGACCUUCGGGCCUCUUGCCAUCGGAUGUGCCCAGAUGGGAUUAGCUAGUAGGUGGGGUAACGGCUCACCUAGGCGACGAUCCCUAGCUGGUCUGAGAGGAUGACCAGCCACACUGGAACUGAGACACGGUCCAGACUCCUACGGGAGGCAGCAGUGGGGAAUAUUGCACAAAGGGCGCAAGCCUGAUGCAGCCAUGCCGCGUGUAUGAAGAAGGCCUUCGGGUUGUAAAGUACUUUCAGCGGGGAGGAAGGGAGUAAAGUUAAUACCUUUGCUCAUUGACGUUACCCGAAGAAGAAGCACCGGCUAACUCCGUG
rnacentral:rRNA from 1 species